rfam:Myotis brandtii contig228159, whole genome shotgun sequence.
GUGCUUGCUCCUGCAGCACAUAUACUAAAAUUGGAAUGAUAGAGAUUAGCAAGGCCCCAUGCAAAAGGAUGAUACGCAAAUUCAUGAAGCCUUAUGUGCCAGAUAAAAUUAUA